UACGUAGGGGGCAAGCGUUGUCCGGAAUCAUUGGGCGUAAAGAGCGUGUAGGCGGCCCGAUAAGUCCGCUGUGAAAGUCCAGGGCUCAACCCUGGAAUGCCGGUGGAUACUGUCGGGCUCGAAUCCGGAAGAGGUGAGUGGAAUUCCUGGUGUAGCGGUGAAAUGCGCAGAUAUCAGGAGGAACACCUAUGGCGAAGGCAGCUCGCUGGGACGUUACUGACGCUGAGACGCGAAAGCGUGGGGAGCAAACAGG
rnacentral:rRNA from 1 species